rnacentral:rRNA from 1 species
UCGAGAAUAUUCCACAAUGCACGAAAGUGUGAUGGAGCGACGCCGCGUGUUGAACGAAGGCCUUCGGGUCGUAAACAACUUUUCUCAGGGACGAAUUUUGACGGUACCUGAGGAAUAAGGGGUUGCUAACUCUGUGCCAGCAGCAGCGGUAAUACAGAGACCCCAAGCAUUAUCCGGAUUUAUUGGGCGUAAAGCGUACGUAGGCGGUUUCGUAAGUCAUUUGUUAAAUCUUCAGGCUUAACCUGGAGGCUGCGGGUGAUACUGCGAGGCUAGAGUAUGGGAGAGGUUAGCGGAAUGCCUAGUGUAGCGGUAAAAUGCGUUAAUAUUAGGUAGAACACCAAAUGCGAAAGCAGCUAACUGGAACAUUACUGACGCUCAGUGUACGAAAGCGUGGGUAGCG